rnacentral:lncRNA from 1 species
CUGAUGGCUGGGCAGCCACUAGUCUGCUUCCCCACAGGAGGGAACCAUAACGUGUACCCAGAAGCCAUGCCCAAGAGGACCCUGUCCGGAGCCAGGAACAUGCUGUCCUCACUGUGAGCCAGGUCAGCCUCCUGCCAGCCUCGCCUCCUGCACUCAUUCUGGGGCCCCCAGAGCCAUCGUCUGCCCCCUGCCCCCUGCCCCCUGCCACAUGCCCAGAGAGUGCCUGCCCACCCACUCUGGCAGUAGUUAGGGAAUUCAGAACGGAAGCACAGCCAGCAAAUACUCACUCCGGCCUGGGACCGAUCCAAAAGCUCUGUAUGAUCCUUUUCCUGCCCCCAGGGAGCUUCUAAUCUAGUUGAGAAAAUAAACAGCCAACAUAACACAAGAUUUAAGAUCCAAUGAAUAGAGUAAGAGAACGUAAAGAAGGGCAGUAUGUGGUUAGCUGCCGGAGGCUCAGUGGUAACAGACUGCUGUAAGCCUUGCAUUUUGGACUUUCUUCUGUGGGCAAUGGGGAGCCGUUGAAGGCUGCAGAGCCCGAGUGUGGCUUGUUCAAAGGAGUGUUUUAGGACUAACCAUCUGGUAUGGACUGGAUGCAGACAGAACCAGUUAGCGGGCUAGUACAGUGGUUGUCUAGGCAUGGAGCCAGGGAUAGCAGUGGCUGCAGAGGGCGGGGUGUUUCUAAAACAAUGGGCAGGAGCUGGUGGGUUAGACCCCACGCAAUAGUGGGGAACUAGGAAGGCAGUGGUGCCAGUGACAUGAAGGGAACUGGGCGGAAGUGGAGGCAGGAGGCAGUGCCUCUGCUGGGGGAUGUUACUAGCUCCGAGUCAGGGAGAUGGGGUUGCCUGAUUUACCCCCCAAAAUACAGGAUGCCUUGUUAGAUUUGAGUUUCACAUAAACAACACAUACUUUUUUGGUGUAAGUCUGUCUCAUGCAAUAUUUGGGACAUACUUAUACUAAAAAAAAUAUGGAUCGUCUACGUCGAAUUCAAAUUCGACCCGGCAUCCUGUACUUUAUGUGGCAGAAUAUCAGCUGAUGGGGCACAGGGUGGGUCAGAGGCUCAGGAGACCAGCGAGGUCUGGAAAUGUACACUGGGAGUCUUGGCCAGAGAUGAGGAGUGGAGUCUUGGGAGUUGAUGGAUCCCAAAGAAAAGGGACACACACAUUCUCUCUCUCUCUCUCUCUCUCUCUCUCUCUCUCUCACACACACACACACACACACACACACACAUGCACACAGAUUUCAGGACACGUGGUGCCUCAAGGCCACUGCUAGCUCAUAUGAUAUCUUCCGUGAAAUUUUUUAAAAAGCACCCUUUCCUCAACACUUGCAUCUAUUGUAAAAUAGUGGAAAUCUGAUUAUGCUUGAGUCAGACGCUUUACUGCCAUCUGCUGGAAAGUUGUAGUAAAUACAAAAAUCUGUCUCCUGAAUGGCGCUCUUUUUUUUUUUUUUUUAAUUUAUUUCUGAGACAGAGAGAGACAGAGCAUGAAUGGGGGAGGGGCAGAGAGAGAGGGAGACACAGAAUCGGAAACAGGCUCCAGGCUCUUAGCCAUCAGCCCAGAGCCCGACGUGGGGCUGGAACUCACGGACCGCGAGAUGGUGACCUGAGCUGAUGUCGGAUGCUUCACCGACUGAGCCACCCAGGCGCCCCCUGAACGGUGCCCUUUGAUGUGGUUCCCUUGUGGGUGCUUUGGUUCCGGUACCCUGGGUCUCUUACUCGGGGGCCUGGCCCUGGUUUUUCAGGCUGCCCUGGAGGCCACAGGGAUGGGGAAACAUGGCAACCAGAGCCCUGUGUCAUCUGCACCUGCCAGGUAAGGGAAUCAGAGCCUAGUCCCGGCCGCCACGCACAUCCCUCGGCAUGCCGAGCCCAAUCUGGGGGCCAGACAGAGCUGCUGCUGCCACCCAGGCCUCGAGGCCUGCAUCCUGCUAGGCCCACCAGGCCUGCGGAGUAACUCAGCUCGGGCAGUGGAGAGGGAGGGAGGGCUCAGUGUCUGCCCUGCAGGCAGGGACCGUGCGGUGCCAGGGGCCCUCAUGUGCAGAGCUCAACUGCCUGGAGAGCUACACCCCACCUGGGGAGUGCUGCCCUGUCUGCCGGCCAGGUGACCUCUCGCCCCACCCUGCCCCUCCAUCCCCUCAGCCCCGGAGGGUCCGGUACCUACUUGGGGUCAUGCCUUCCCUUGGGUGAUGUCCACUCGCCCUGCUCUCUGCUGACCCGCCUGUCAUCCUGACAACCCUCCCCAGGCUGUGAGUAUGAGGGGCGGCCUUAUGAAGAGGGGGCCAACUUCCUGUCCAGCACCGACCCUUGUCUCCAAUGCUCCUGCCUGGUGAGUCCCCACCCGCCUCGUUCAGGCCUUGCCCCUCCAUAUACUCUCCCUGCUCCCCCUUGGGUCACACCUGCUGGUUUUUCAUAUACCUCCCAAGACCUCCUGCCGGUGAGGCUCACCCUCCAUCGCGGUCCUGUGCCCCACCCCUCCAAGGAUGUCUGACGCUUGUCCACCCUGCCCUGUCUGGGAGCCAGACCGGGUGGCUUUACAGCGACUGGUGUAUUACAGAGGAGCCUGGUUCGCUGUGCGCCCAUCAAGUGUCCACCCAGCCCCUGCCCUGAGCCAGUCCUGAGGCCUGGCCACUGCUGCCCGACCUGCCAAGGUGAGAGCCCUGACCCUUCCCUGGUAGAGCUCCAGGUGGGGACGUCACAGCAUUUCUUCAGCUCCAGAGCCCAUUCUGCUGGCCCUGACCUGGGGGGUUGGUCAGUGGGGAAGCGAUGCCCGGCCAACGCUGCUCUGGAGCUGAGGUGCCUGGGCUCAAAUCCCGCCCUUGCCAUUUCGUGGCCGGGUACCUCUGAGGGAGUUACUCUGGGUCUCGAUUCCCCAUUUGUGAGGUGUGGAUAAUGCCAUUCUAUACCUUGAUAAAUGCUGAGCAUUUUCAUUUGCUAUGUGCACGGAAGACACAAGGGGGCCCCCCCCUCCAAGAAGACCACUAGAGGGUGACACUGAGUCACACACCAGCACUAUUAGAAGUCACACACCAGCAGUAUUAGAAGCAGGUGCCGGGCACUGUGGACACUCAGAGGAAGGAGACCUAAUCCAGCCUGGACACAGGAAGGAAAGCGUCCUGGAGGCGGCGCGUCCUGAGUGAACCUUCAGGAUAAAGAGCAGUUAGCUAGGGGAAGGGUGGAAUAAGGCAGAGGGCAUUCCAGGAAGAGAGGAGAGCUUGCACAAAGGCUCGGGACGGACAGUCAUGUGAGGUGGGUGUGUGGUAGGUGGGAAGGUGCAAAUGUACGCGAAUGGCCAAAGCUUACGGCGAGAGGUGAGGAGGGGCCAAGAGCUGGGGGGAGGUGGGCGUGGCCACACUGCGUCCCGGGAGGCCUUGCACUGGAAGCCCUCAGGAGUCUAGGCAGAGGCAUGGCCUGGUCUGGUCUGGGCUCAGGGCAUGUGAAAGAGGGUCGGGGCCGGCUGAAGCUGCUAUCCAGGCCGGCUCCUUCCAGGCUUCCUCUGUGUCCAUCUUUACCUCAACCCCAGGCUGCACGGAAGGUGGCUCUCGCUGGGAUCAUGGCCAAGAGUGGACUGCCCCUGGGGACCCCUGCCGGAUCUGCCGGUGCCUGGUGAGUCCCUCCUCUGCUCCCACACCCCUCACCCCGCCCCAUCCCCAGGCCAACCAUAUUCAUCCCUUCAUUUCACUGAGCACAUCCCCUAUGCACUGGGAGGGGACAGAGGUGGAGAAGACCUGAUCCUGGGCGCUAUGAGGGUGAGGAUGGGGCUGUGCCCAGCUGUAUGCCCAGUUCUGAGCAUCGUAGAUGUGCAGCGUGGGUUUGCGAAUGAACUCAAAGAGCUUGCAAGCUCCGGAAGUGAGGCAGGUCAGGAUAUGACAGGCAGCAACAGCUCGGGGGAGAGAGAAAUGCAGAUUACGUGGAGACAUCUAGAACUGCGCUGUCCCGUCUGUGGCCACCACCGCAUGUGGCCACUGAGCCCUUGAAAGUAGCUGUCCAGUUGGAGAUGGGCUGAAGUGCAAAAUGUGGGAUUUUAAAGACUUAGGACAAAAGAAAGGAAUAUAAAACAUCUCAUUGCUACUUUAUGUUGAAAUCACUUUUGGGGGGGCGCCUGAGUGGCUCCAUCGGUUAAGUAACCGACGUCAGCUCAGGUCAUGAUUCCAUGGUUGGAGGUUCGUGAGUUCGAGCCCUGAGUUGGGCUCUGCAUGGACAAUGUGGAGCCUACUUUGGAUUCUCUGUCUCCCUUUCUCUCUGUCCCUCCCCUGCUGGUACUCUUUCAAAAAUAAAUAGGGGCACCUGGGUGGCUCAGUCGGUUAAGCAUCUGACUUUGGGUCUGGUCAUGAUCUCGUGGUCCGUGAGCUCGAGCCCCGCAUCGGGCUCUGUGCUGACAGCUUAGAGGCUGGAGCCUGCUUCGGAUUCUGUGUUUCCCUCUCUCCCUGCCCCUCCCCAAGUCAUGCUCUGUCUCUGUCUCUCCCUCUCUCUCUCUCAAGAAUAAACAUUAAAAUUUUUUUAAAUAAAUAAACAUUUUUUGAAGUUUUUUAAAAAAGAAAUAACUUUAGGAUAUAGUCAGUUGAAUGGAAUAUAUAUUAUUAUUUAGUUUCAUCUGUUCCUUUUUGAAAUUUGACUGCUAGAGUAAUUUAAUUUAUUUUAUUUUUUUGAGUGAGAGAGAGCAUGUGUGUGCAAGCAGGGGAGAAGCAGAGAGAGGGAGGGAGAGAAUCCCAAGCAGGCUCCGUACCCAGCACAGAGCCUGACACAGGGCUCGAUCUCACAACCAUGAGAUCAUGACCUGACCCAAAAUCAAGAGUUGGAUGCUUAACCCACUGAGCCACUCAGGCACCCUUACUAGAGAAUUUAAAAUGACUUACGACUUGUGUUAUGUUUCUACUGGGCAACACAGAUCUAGAAAAUCUUCAUGGAAGGGAUGGUGUUUACCUAGGUCUUAAAGGGUGAGUAGCGUUUAAGCAGGAAGAAAUGGGGGAAGACAUUCCAGGUGCUAUGAACUGAAUGUUUGUGUCUCCCCCAAGUUCAUAUGUUGAAAUCCUAACCCCAAGGUGAUCGUAUUUAGAGGUAGGGCCUUUGGGAGGUGCUUAGGUCAUGAGGGUGGAGCCCUCAUGAAUGGGAUUAGUGUCUUUGUAGAAGGGACCCCAAAGAGCUAGCUCCUCUCUUCAGCCACGUGAAAACAGUGAAAAAGCAGGUGUCUAGGAACCUGGAAGCCGGUCCUUUUCAGACACUGAAUCUCCUGGCACCUUGAUCUUGGACUUCCCAACUUCCAGAACUGGGAGAAGUAAAUUUCUGUUGUCUAUAAGCCCCCCAGCCUAUGGGAUUUCAUUACAGCAACCCAAGUGGACUAAGACACCAGGUGUAGGGAACAGUCAGGGCGAAGCCUGGGGGAAGAAGGUGGGGACGUGGAAACGUCAUGUCCAGGCAGGGAGCAUCCUGAGAAGGGUUGUGUUUCAAGCCAGAGCCAUACAGCUUCCUGACAGCCUACCAAGGUCUGAAGACUCCACUGCGAAGGCCAUGGGGCAUCCAUCCCCUUUGCAACCACGUGCCUCCCUUCCCUGUUCACAUGGACCACCCUCCCGACACCCGUGAGAAGAGUCACUGGCUGCCCACUUACGGGACUGGACAUAGUGAGCCCUGAUGUAGGUGGGAACUCAAAGGGCGGGGGUCUGUCCGGGAACAGCCGUGGCGAGUAGCAGCAGCUACUGUUUACUCGCCAGCUUCCAGAGGUGGCUGUCACACCGGACACCAUAUCUCAUUUCAUUCCCAUAACAAGGCUGUGAGGACAGGACUAUUACUGUCUUUGCCGAUGGGUAAACUGAGUCACAGAGAGCUUCAGUAACGCGCUGGGCACCAUAACAAAGUACCGCAAAGGGGUUUGGCUUAAACAACAGAAAUGUAUCAUCUCGUGGUUCAGGAGGUCAGAAGUCCAAGGUCAAGGUGUCCUUCCGAGGGCUGUAAGAGGGAAUCUGUUCCAGGCCUCUCUCCUGGCUUUUGGUGGUUUGCUGGCAAUCCUUGGUAUCCCUUGGCUUCUGCCUUGAUCUUCACAUGUUGCUCUCCCUGUGUGUGUCUGUGUUCAAAUUUCCCCUUUUUUAAGGACGCAGUUUUUGGAGGGGCCACCCCACUCCAGUAUGACCUCAGCUUAACUAAUUAUAUAUGGAGUGACCCUAUUUCCAAAUACGUCGUGUUCUGGGGUGCGAGGGGUUAGGACUUCAACAUAUGAAUUUGGAGGGGGGCACAGCUCAACUCAUAACAACAUCUAGUAAGCGCAUCGUGGGAACUCGACUGCCAUUUCUGCCACUUGACGGAGCUCUAAUGGCCCCUUCCCCUGCCCGCUGUGCCCCCUCCCAGGAGGGCCACAUUCAGUGCCGCCAGCGAGAAUGCUCCAGCCUGUGCCCGUACCCUGCCCGGCCUCGUCCAGGCACCUGCUGCCCGCUGUGCGAUGGUGAGUCAGUGGGUGGAGUCUGGAGUGGGGGUCCAGAAAGCUCACCUGUGGCCCAGCUCAGUCUCCCAUGAAGGCCAGGACUUUAAGGCACCCUAUUCCCCAACAGGCUGUUUCCUAAAUGGGCGGGAGUACCGCAGCGGAGAGCCCGUGGGCUCUGGGGACCCCUGCUCGCGCUGCCACUGUGCCGUGAGUGUGGCUGGCCUGGCAGGGAGGGCCUGGCUUCUGGGCCUGCCUCUUGAAUGCUGAUCAGGCCCUGUUGGCAGAACGGGAGUGUCCAGUGUGAGCCUCUGCCCUGCCCGCCCGUGCCCUGCAGACACCCAGGCAGGAUCCCUGGCCAGUGCUGCCCAGUCUGUGAUGGUGAGCUGGGGACUCGAGUCACCGGGAGAGGGGCAAGCACUGGCCCAAGAGAGGCUCGGGAGGGGGGCGGGGUCGGGCGUUUAGACCUACAGGAAGCUCCCUUGAACUAAAGUGCAGGACAAGUCCUUGAUCGGCCUAGGCUCCCGUCACCACGGGUGAGGGUCACGUUCUCACCUUCUCAUGGCACACUGGGCACCAUGGCGGGGCCCUUGAUCCUGGAGGUAGGGGAGGCUGGCUCAUCAGGGUUGGGGGGGGUGGAUGCUUUGAGGUGACGUGAGGCUUCCCCAUCAGCCUCCAGCCCUGCCCCCGGUCCCCCUGUCCUCCUGACCAGGCUGUGAGUACCAGGGACACCAGUACCAGAGUGAGGAGACCUUCCGACUCCAAGAGAGGGGGCGCUGCAUCCGCUGCUCCUGCCAGGUAGCCAGUCGCGCCCUCUCACACCCCAGAUCUGUCUCACCCCUUGAGGACCUCUCACCCGGCAUCCUUCCUAGGCUGGCGAGGUGUCCUGUGAGGAGCAGGCGUGCCCGGUUGCCCCCUGCACCCUGCCUGACUCUGGCCCCCAGCUCUGCCCAGGUAUGUGUGGGGAGGGAGAGAAAGAGGAACAGCUUCAAAGGAGUGCUGCUCGCAGGCGCUGAAGACGGAGGGGUUCCUUCACAAUAAGGGGGGCACUGUCCGGUCCACCAGCCACUCCCAGCGUGGGGUCAGAGGCCACCGUAGGCCUGGCAGAGCCAGGGCCCUGUGGUCUGGGAAGGUCAGGGGUGGCAGCAGGUGUCUCGGUUGCCAUGGUGACAGCCCCCCUUGCGGCAGCCUGCGUGCUGGAUGGAGAGGAGUUUGCUGAGGGGGUCCAGUGGGAGCCUGAUGGUCAGCCCUGCACGGCCUGCUCCUGUCAUGAUGGCGUGCCCAUGUGUGGGGCUGUGCUCUGCUCCCCACCCCCCUGCCAGCACCCUACCCAGCUCCCCGGUGAGUGCCCCACCCUGAUCUGGCCUUCCCCCCUGCUUUGUCCAGCCGGCCCAGAUCAGCUGGGCUCUGAUCAGUCUGCCUCCCCCAGGUGCCUGCUGCCCCAGCUGUGAGAGCUGCACCUACCACGGCCAAGUGUAUGCCAAUGGGCGGAACUUCACGGACGCGGAUAGCCCUUGCCGCGCCUGCCGCUGCGAGGUACCACCCCAGGCUUGCUACUGCCCUGCUGAGCCCCUCCUGGAGCCCACCCCCAUUGCCCUCUCCCCUGCUCCCAGGCUGGGACUGUGAGGUGCUCCUUGGUUGACUGCCCUCCCACAACUUGUGCCAGGCCCCAGAGUGGACCCGACCAGUGCUGCCCCAGGUGCCCAGGUAUGUGCUUAUGACACUUGUCUGGCUUGGGGGCCCCGGAGCCAGCUCUCCCAUGGCCCCACGGGCUCAACAGAUACCCUAGCAAGCAACAGCCUUCUGAGUUGUUUUCAGACACAGCUUGGACUUUCUGGAACUCACAGGGUAUGGGUAGGAGGGAGAGUAGAGAGAUGUUUAUCCCUUCAUGUUCCUGUAUGUCCCUUCCCUCCUGUUCUGUAUUUCCUCCUCCAGUACCCUUACCGGUCAGAUAUAUUCCUGUGUCUAUAUAAAGCAGCUCCAUGCCACAAACGUUUGGGUCUGAUGUGCGGGAGACUGGGUGCUGGGAUGCAGUGUAACCUGGUCCCUGCCCCGCCCUCCUGGAGAGUCUGUACCAGAGCGUGUAUCACAAACACAGGCACGUUCAUGCACGAGCUCCUUGGCUGUUCACCCUCAGAGGCAUACACACAUGCAUCAGGUAAAUGGGCUCAAAUAUGCCUCCACAUGCGAGCGUGUGCUCGGAGAGAUACCCAUGCCUGCAUACACAGACCCUUCUUCCACUCUCUCUGUGGUGCUUCCUGCUGGCAUUUCCUCAGUGGCCCUGGACUCCAAGGAUAGAUGGGCUGUCAGCCCAUGCCUAGAACUGUCAGUCCUCGCCCCCACUCCUGCCCCUCUCCCUGCCCCAAUGCUCAGACUGCAUCCUGGAGGAACAAGUAUUUGUGGAUGGCGAGAGCUUCUCCCACCCCCGAGACCCCUGCCAGGAGUGCCGGUGUCAGGAAGGCCAUGCCCAUUGCCAGCCUCGGGCCUGCCCCAGGGCCCCUUGUGCCCAUCCACUGCCUGGCACCUGCUGCCAGAACGACUGCAAUGGUGAGGUGGAUGCCAUGGGGAAGGUGGGGGGGGGGCGGUCUCCUGGGAUGGCUUGGCCCCAUCUGUGGGCUUUUAGGGUCGGAAGGGCAGCCUCCCCGGGGAGGAAUGGGCCCCUCCCAGGCCUAUAGCUGCCCCCUCCCCCAGGCUGUGCCUUUGGCGGGAAAGAGUACCCUAACGGAGCAGACUUCCCCCACCCGUCUGAUCCCUGCCGUCAGUGUCGCUGUCUGGUGAGUCUGCCACCUGGGUGAGAGGAGGAGGCUAGGGGAGUAGGGGUGGGACUUGGGAGACCAGGAGAGGGCCCCCAAGGUGGCAGUCAGAGGGGUGGGGGUCUCCUCAGCCUCCCACCACUAACCGGCCUGGCGUGGGCCCUCUGUUGCAGAGCGGAAGCGUGCAGUGCCUCUCCCGCCGCUGCCCGCCGCUGCCCUGUCCAGAGCCGGUCCUGCUGCCCGGAGAGUGCUGCCCGCAGUGCCCCGGUAGGAUGCGCACACCCCUCGGGCAGAUCCGCAUGGGAGGGAGGGGCGAGCCUCCGCAGCCUCUCCUUGGAGCCCUGACUCGCGCACGCUCUCUGCAGCCACCUCCUCCGGCUGCCCGCGGCCAGGGGGCGGGGUCCCGGCCCGCCACCUAGAGUAUUUCUCCCAGCCCGACGACCCCUGCCGCCGCUGCCUCUGCCUCGAUGGCUCUGUGUCCUGCCAGCGGCUGCCCUGCCCGCCUGCUUCCUGCUCCCACCCGCGCCAAGGGCCCUGCUGCCCGUCCUGCGACGGUAACUGGCGCCCCCUCCCGGCCUAGGCAGCACCCCACCCCCACCUGCUCCCUCCAGCUCUGCCCCCAGCCUCACCCUACUCCGUCCCCUCUUAUGACAUGUCCCCCUUCCUCCAGCCCCUAACACUGCGCGACCCCAGUACCCCCCCUUCCUCCGGGCCCACCACUCCCACGUCGGGGUUCUCACUAAGAAUGUGGGGGGACACCGCCCUGUUGGCAGGGUCAGGGAGGCCGUGGUCCUGGCAGACGGCCACCACGACCGCCACUGCUCCUGCCUUGCUCGCCUGCCCGCCUAGGCUGCCUGUACCAGGGGAAGGACUUUGCCAGCGGGGAGCGUUUCCCUUCGCCCACUGCCUCGUGCCACGUCUGCCUCUGCUGGGAGGGCAGCGUCAGCUGCGAGCCCAGGGCCUGCGCACCUGCUCAGUGCCCCUUCCCCACCCGGGGUGACUGCUGCCCUGCCUGUGAUGGUGAGGGGCAGGGGACUGUGGGGAUGAGGGGCUGGGAAGGCCAGGUCAGCGUCAUCUUUACUGCCCUAGAGUGAGUCCCCAACAUCUGUCACCGUAACAGAAAACACUGGACUAAAACCUGGGGUUUCUCCUGCUGCUGAUGCUAUUUGGCUCUGUGACCCUGGGCAAGUUACAUAACCUCUCUGGGCCUAAUUUUUCUUAAUUGGAAAAAUACAUUUUAAACUGUGUAUUUUUGUAAAACACAUAUAACAUAAAAUUUACUGCUUUAACCAUUAAAAAAAAUUUUUUUUAACGUUUAUUCACCCUUGAGAGACAGAGCACGAACGGGGGAGGGGCAGAGAGCGAGGGAGACACAGAAUCUGAAGCAGGCUCCAGGCUUUGAGCUGUCAGCACAGAGUCGACGUUGGGCUCGAACCCACGGACCGUGAGAUCAUGACCUGAGCUGAAGUCAGAUGCUCAACCGACUGAGCCGCCCAGGCCCCCCUACUUUAACCAGUUUUAAGUGUAACUCUAAUUUUAGCUCCUGAAAAAAAAGAGAGGGUUGAACAAGGCCCACUCAGUUCCCCAGGCUUCGGUCACUCUUGUACUAUCUUAGCAACAUUUGCUACAUACCCUCUCGCACCUGUAAGUUUAUUUAACUACUUUUCUUCAAAUUAACCUUUUAUUUUCUUAAAAAAAAUUUUUUUUUAAUGUUUAUUUAGGUUUUUUUUUUGAGAGAGAGAGACAGAGUGUGUGCCGGGGAGGGGCAUGCAGAGAGAGGGAGACACAGAAUCCCAAGCAGGCUCCAGGCUCCGAGCUGUCAGCACAGAGCCUGACGCAGGGCUCGAACUCGUGAACAGCGAGAUCACUGCCUGAGCCGAAGUGGGACACUCAACUGAUUGAGCCACCCGGGCGCCCCAUCCUUUUGUUUUUAAACCUACUUAGAAAGGAGUCUUUAUAUCAUACUGUAAAUGAGUUAGAUUUUCCAGGAAUGAAGAUUACCAUAAUUAUUAAUACAGUUAAAAGUAGAACAUUAAAUUUGAGUCAGAAACUUUUGCCUGCCAAGGCUUUGAGACGGAGACUUGCCUCUCUCUCUCUCUCUCUCUCUCUUUUUCUGUUAAGACUUUGUUUCUUUACAGCAGUUUUAGGUUCACAGCAAAAGCGAGAGGAAGGUACAGAGAUUUCCCAAGUGCCCCCUGCCCCCAACACAUGCACAGCUUCCCUCCUUAUCAAUAUCCCCCACCAGGGAUUUGUGGUUACUACUGACACCUCAUUAUCACCCAAAGCGCCCUCUCAGCAAGUGUCAGAGAGCUGCUUGCUACAACCCUGGGAUCCCGUCCAGGUCCCUGAUUAGUCAGGGGGCUCGGAAGAAUAUUGGAAAGACGAUACCUUGAUCAGUGUCUCCGAAGCCAUCUCGGGCUAUCUCCAACUGUCCCCAGGUUGGAGAAAUUGGUACCUUCUGGCUGGGUGUGGCCUGUUGAGCAUCCAACUCUAGGGACAGAUUCCCUGUGGGUCUUUCCAGAGAGAUUACGGGCUGAAAGGGGGAAAGUGUGCCCUUUGGCCGGUGCCCCAUCCCAGACUCCUUUGCCCCCCCACCCCGUCUCCUGCCAGGAUUGAGCCUUCUCCUUGUCCCCAGUUGCUGGGUCUUUGAGGCCUCAACUGGGGCCCAAGGUCAGAACUGGAUGACUGCUCACCUCUCACCAUUUCUGCCCCCUGCCCUGCCCCUCCCUGUCCUCUCUUGAAGGUUGCGAGUAUCUAGGGGAGUCCUACCUGAGCGGCCAGGAGUUCCCGGAUCCCCGAGAGCCCUGCAAUCUGUGUACCUGCCUUGGAGGCUUUGUGACCUGUGGCCGCCAGCCCUGUGAGCCUCUGGGCUGCAGCCACCCGCUCACCCCGGCUGGACACUGUUGCCCAACCUGCCAGGGUAGGACAGCACCUGCCCUUCCUGCCCCUCCUGGAGCCCCCAGGGGCCCAACUGGUCUUACCACCGUCACCACACAGCAAACCCACGCCCCGUGCUCUCCUCAGACCCCUGAGGAUCCACACCCUCCUGGCUGUCCCUGCUGUCUCCUCAAACUGCCUUACACUUCCAGAACUCCCUGCUCUCAAAUUGUCUCGUCGCCUUCCUGAGAUGUCACAUCGCCAGAUUCAAACCCAUUCGAUGGCUCCCAUGCCCCCUGAGUGACCAGUCACAAGGGGGAGCGUCCCUCCCGCCUGGCUUGCCUUUGCCCAUGCUCCUGAGCCCAGCCCAUCUCUUGCCUUCAGUUCCGGGUGUGUGUGCCCACUCGUCACGUGGGCCCCACAGAUAGAAACUUCCCAGCGGCCUUUGACCCCACCUCCAGACCUGACUCCCUUCGUGCACUCAGGUCUCGCCGCUCACAGCCUGGCCAAGGCCUCACCUUCCCAGCCACCGUGGGCCACACUUAUCUCUCCCUCUCUGACUCCCUAAGCGUUGGUAGGGGUCGUCAGGACCAGCUGCGUGUGUGUGGCCAUGGGGGGCUGCCCUGAUGGCUGCUCUUUCAAUGCAUUUCCUGCUCUGCCAGGAUGCCUCUAUCAUGGGGUCACCGCAGCCCAUGGAGAGACCCUUCCUGACCCACUCGACCCCAGCUGCUCCCUCUGCACCUGCCAGGUGAGGUGGCCUUUGGGGAACGUGGUGACCUUUCAUCCCUCGAUCCUCCUCUCUGGCCCGGAAGAGCUCGUCUCCUCACCCGGGUCUCACGGGGGACCAUCUAGCGGAAGAGGAUUGGAUUCUGGUCUCCUGGGCCGAGGGAGGGAGGUUUGAGCCCGGCAGGCUCAGUGGGGGCAUCCUGCCAGGGGGCAGUGCGUAGCCUGGUUUCAGGUUGUGAUGACACGGAGUCGGGAAGUAGCAAUCGACCUCUCUCCCCCCAGGAAGGUUCCGUGCGCUGCCAGAAGAAGCCAUGUCCUCCAGCUCUCUGCCCCCACCCCUCUCCAGGACGCUGCUUCUGCCCUGUUUGCCACAGUGAGCUGCCUUCCGCGUGCCCCAGCCCCCCAUGCUCGUCCCCACCCCUCCCCCCUCUUUCUGUCAGGCCUGAGCGAGGUCGGACAGGGCGAGGUGGCACAGCCCCCCACCCAAGAGAGGUCUUUCCCACAGGCUGCCUCACCCAGGGCCAGGAGCACCAGGAUGGGGCAGAGUUUGAGGGGCCCCCAGGCAGCUGCGAGUGGUGUCGUUGUCAGGUAUGGUGGGGCGGGGGGGGAGGGCGUUGGCGUCGGGGCUAGGUCCCCAUGCCUCUGGGGCGCCUGGCCUAGAGGGCAAGUCCCUGAACCUGCACCUCCUGCAGGCCGGCCAGGUCAGCUGUGUGAGGCUGCAGUGCCCCCCUCUGUCCUGCCCACUCCAGGUCACGGAGCAGGGGGGCUGCUGCCCUCGCUGCAGAGGUAUGCCCAGCCCCACGUGGCUGCCCUCUGGCCUCUGCCCCCGGGCCCGAUGCCCCGUACCGGCCCCCCCUCCCUCUCCUUAGCUCUCUCCGGCCUUCCCCCCUCCCUGGCCACCCACCUGGCCCUCCCACACCUUGGCCCUGAAGCUCUCAUCCCUGCAGGCCUUUGGUUCCUCCUACCCCUCCGUGCCCCUGGCCUGCCCAGACCACACCCCCUCAAGACUGACACCUUCCUGACCACACUAGUCAUCAUCGUAAUCGUACCAUGUGCCACAUUCUGAGCUCAGCACUUGACACACAGCUCACUUAAUCCGCACACGGUCCAAUAGGUACUAUUAUCACUCCCAUUUUGCAGAUGAGAAAACUGAGGCACAAAGAGAUAACAUCGCUUGCCUAUGGGCACGCAGCUGGUAGGUGGCAGUCAGGAUGUGCAUCUAAGCCAUCUGGUUCUAGAAUAUGAGCCUGUUUUAGGCUGCCUCCUGGCCCUCACCCUCAUACGCUGCUCAGCAGGGUGUAGCUUCCACAGAACUGUCACAGCGUCUCACGCGCCCUUGAGGUAGGCAGGACAGAUGAAAUCCCCAUUUAACAGGUGAGGAGACUGAGGCUCGGAGAGAUUGUUACCUGGGGCACAUGGUUAGUGAUGGAGCCUUUCAUUCAUGUCACAUGCAUUUAUUACAUGCCUGCUGCAUGCCAGGUGCUGGGCUACCACCAACAGUGGCUGCUGCCCGGCACAACGUCUAGCAAGCAAGCAGGCACGGAAGGGGAUAAGAACCGGGUGUUCCGACCCUAGCCCAGGGUCUUUCCCGUCCGCCACAGGCAGGAGCACUGCCCCAGGCCAUCUUUCCACCAUAUCCCUAUAGAUGCCCCUCCUGGCACCCGCAUGCCCUGCUGGCCACCCAGGGUGGGGGGACAGGGGCACGCGUGCAGAACCAAGACUCAGAGCUCGUCCCUGCCCACCUGGGACACAGGCUGCCUGGCUCACGGGGAGGAGCACCCGGAAGGCAGUAGCUGGGUGCACCCCCAAAGCCCCUGCUCCUCCUGCAUGUGUCACGAGGGCGUCGUCACCUGUGCCCGCGUCCAGUGUGUCAGCUCCUGUGCCCAGCCCCACCGAGGGCUCAGUGACUGCUGCCCUCGAUGCUCUGGUACUGGGAGCCUGGGGCCGGGUGAGGGAGGGCGGGGAGGCAGCACUUCUCUCCGGGCUGGGCCGCAGAGACAGGCUGCUCCAGGAGAAGUGACCCCCACUCUUGCACACACCCCAAUCCCUGGAGCCGGGGGCAUCCCCUAGCAUUCUUGCCAGCCUGAAGGCUCCCUGGUCCUGUUCUGCCCCAGACUGUGAACAUGAAGGUCGGAAGUACGAGCCAGGGGAAAGCUUCCAGCCUGGGGCAGACCCGUGCGAAGUGUGCAUCUGUGAGGUGGGUGAGGGCAACGCCGAGGGGCUGGGCACCACAAAGGGGGCAACCAUGGGGAGCAAGCAGUAUGCGGGUCAGAGAUAGGAAUGUGCCCCCCGGGGCCAGGAAGCGUGGGGCAGGACAGGCGCUGAGCGGGGUGGGGGCAGUGGGCAGCCCUCCUGGCUGGAGUUUAGGGUGGGUGUGUAUGGGAGGUAGGGGGACCCCUGGGAAGUGGUUGGGGGGCCUGUUAGGGAAUAACAUUUGAAAGUAAUGGUGAGCCGAUGAAUGACGCCCUGUGCCCAGGGAUUUGGCAGGGGAGGGGAGGAAAUGGCAUGAGAGUGCAGGGGCUCAACACUUAUAAGAAGGUUCAGGCUUGGGUAACUGGAAAGAGAAGGGGACGUCAUCUCCUGGGACUAGGGCAUGGGGUGAGGAGCGAUCUGGGGAGAGUUGAGUCUCUGCAGACUGGAGUUUAACCUGCCCAGGGUACACCCAGCAGGAGGCGCAGCAGGCAGAUGAAAGGGCUUGGGGUCCAGGGAAAGAGGGAGGAUCUCGGCUUUCAGGGCCCGGGACCCACCCCCUUUGCUCACUCAUUUUUGUAGCUGCAGCCUGAGGGGCCCCCGAGCCUUCAGUGUCAUCGGCGGCAGUGUCCCAGCCUGGUGGGCUGUCCCGCCAGCCAGCUCCUGCCCCCUGGGCCACAGCACUGCUGCCCCACCUGUGCCCGUGAGUCCCUGGAUAUGGGGGUAGACAAGAGGGUAGGACUGCCAUCCCCAGAGUGACACCGGAAGUCAGUCGCUCUCCUCUAUAGUCCUGGCUCUCACCCUAUUUUGAGUCCAAUAGACUAUUCAGGAAGCCCUGGCUGGUGCGGCCUGCACCUCUUCCCCACCCCCAGAGGGGGACGGGGGAAGCUGGCAGGGAGGGAUCCCUGGACUCUGAAGCCAGGCGCAGUGUGUGGAGCAUCUUGCCCAGCAGGUGGCGCUGUGGGAUGGGGUUUUGCAGGUUGCGGGCUUGAGGGCCGUAAUGUGAGGCCAGAGGGGCUACAGAGGUGGGGAGGUAUUCUUACCAACACUUGUUAGCAUGUGCCUCAGGGAAAGAGAAAAGGACUAACAUUUAGUAAGCACCUACUGUAUGCCGUACCUGGUACUUGGCGUUUUUAAUAAACACUAUCUCAUUUAAUUCUCAUUUACCCAGUGAGCGGUGUUAUUAUUCCCUUUUACAGAUGAAAAAACUGAGGUUCAGAGAGAUUGAUUAGUCUGCCCAAAAUGGCCCAGGCACUGAAUGCUGGAGCCAGGAUUAGAACCUGGAGUACCUACCUGGCUCUCUGUGCUUCCUUGUGCUGUUUUAGCCAGGUAAUAUAAAAGGAAAUAGGAGAGGGAGCAGGCGAGGCCGGCAGUCUGAGGGUCCUUAGUGACCUUAGGCUAAGGAAGCCACACCUUGUCCACUCCCAGGCCCUCCACCCUAGUAGUCUGCAAAGUUCUUUUUAAAAAGCCCCAACUUUUCUUUGCGGACCCAAGAGGAAGGAGGACUCAUCCUCUUGGAAUCAAGGUGCUGGCAAUAUGGGUAUGUCCCAGGCCCAAGAAGUCCUGGGACACAGCGGGUAAGUGGGCUUUUGCCCCCUGCUUCCCCUCUCCGUCCCCGACGCUGAACUCUUGUCUUCACAGAGGCGCUGAGCAACUGCACAGAGGGCCUGCUGGGGUCUGAGGUGGCCCCGCCGGACCCUUGCUACACCUGCCAGUGCCAGGUGAGCCCCCCGCCCUGGGGAUUCCCAGAGCUCUCUCUUCUUCCUCCUCUGUGCACUGUGGCAACAACUCCUCUCCUGCCACUCCAGGCUCCCCGCCCACUCCGACACGCGUCCGCACACCUUGAAUAUCAUAUCUGGCCUCCACCCUGCUCCCUCCCUGUUCUUCUCUACUGAUGGCGUUCACAUGCCCUUCCACAGGACCUGACAUGGCUCUGCAUUCACCAGGCCUGUCCUGAGCUCAGCUGUCCCCCAUCGGAGCGCCACACCCCCCCUGGGAGCUGCUGCCCCGAGUGCCGAGGUAGGUGCCGGCCUUGACCUGCAUCCUGUGAACACGAGCCCAGGGGGGAGACGGGAAGGGUGGCAUCCAAAGGCUAAGGGGGCAACCUGAGGUCUGUACUUCAAAUGUGGGCUUCGUUCUCUUGUCGAAAUGAAGGGUCAUUCAGUGGGGUGCAGAAGGUAGAGGAAAGCAGAGGAUGAAGUCUGGAUAUUCAAGGCCUGGCCUGGGGCUUGUCACUGGGCUCGGAGGCCCCAGGCCCAUUGGACAGGCAUUGCACUGAGCUGGCAGCUGGCCCAUGGGAAGGUUCCAGCCUGUGACUCUUUGGGCUUCCAGGACCCUUUCCACUUCCCUCGCACUGGUUGCGGGCCUGCCAUCUGGUAGGUCGUCUGGAUACCGGUUGCAGAAAUCAGCACCAUCAGGGUGCUAGCGGAAUGGCGCGGGCCUUCAGGGUGCGCUCCAGGGAGGAGGAUGCAGGUGGGAGGACUAUGCUCCCCCCUCCUCACUUCUUCCUCCUCAGAAUGCGUGGUGGAGGCCGAGGGCCGGAGAGCGGCGGAUGGAGAGAGCUGGCGGGACCCUAGCAACGCUUGCAUUACUUGCGCCUGCCAUGUGAGCUGGGGGUGGUGGGCAGGUAGAGGGUGGGGCGGAGGACCUUACAGAUGGAUAAAGGGAGGAGUCUCAGGACACUGGACCAGUGAAUAUGGGGUCUUUGAGGUAAUUAGUAAAAGGCGCCCCCUCUGGGUGAGAGCGGGCAGUGGCAUCCCUGUGCCGGGGCAAGGAACUAAGGGCUGGAUUUCACCCCCCACUGGAACAUGAAAUGGGUGUUCUUGUAGGGCAGGGGCAGAGAGAAGGGGCUGCUGCCUCAGACUGUGACCCAGAGGCUCCCAGAAGUGUGAGGCCAGGCACCCCAGGCCCUGCAGGAAGUCCUUAGAGCAAUGACAUCUGUCCUCAGCGGGGCCGCGUGGAGUGCCACCUGGAGGAGUGCCCCGCCCUCUCCUGCCCCCAGGGCUGGGCGAAGGUGCGAGAGGCUGGCAGCUGCUGUGAGCGAUGCCAAGGUGCCAGACAGAACGAUGGGAGUUGGGGACGAGCGAGACCCAGUGUGAGGGACGGGCAGUUGACCCUACCCCGCUCCUGUCCCCUCAGCCCCCGCCCAGUCGUGCGCGCACGAGGGCCGGGCGGUGGCCUCCGGGGAGCGCUGGGCCGUGGACGUUUGCACCACUUGCUCCUGCGUGGCAGGCACCGUGCGCUGCCAGAGCCAGCGCUGCCCGCCGCUCUCCUGUGGCCCCGUGAGUGCCGCGUCUAGGGCGGUGGGGUGAGUGGGCAUGUGACAAGGCCUUCCUGGUAAGACCCGGCGGGAGGAAGGAGGCAGCGCUUGGGUAGCGGCCGCGGCGCGGUUGGGAGGGGGGCGGGGAGAGAGACCCUGCGGUCGUGCAGUUCCAGGCGCGGCCACAAGGCGGUGCCCUGAGCCCGCUUGCGGUGAGCCGGGGAGAUUCCCGGGAGAUCCUCGGUCCCAGGGGAGGCUCUGCGAGGGGCACCGCAGGGAGGGCGAAGUGUCUGACGGGAUCCGGGGCUGAGGCCAGGACGAGGCCCCCGCCCUGAGUCCCGGCAGCUGCUGCCCCCGCUGCCUGCCCCGACCCGCCUCCUGCAUGGCCUUCGGAGACCCUCAUUACCGAACUUUCGACGGCCGCCUGCUGCACUUCCAGGGCAGCUGCAGCUAUGUGCUGGCCAAGGACUGCCGCGGAGGGGACUUCAGGUGCGCAACCCCCUCUGCCUUCUCCCUAACUCCCCACACCUGUCCCUGCUGACUACUGCACCUGGGCCUCUCACGCCACAGCGUGCACGUGACCAACGAUAACCGGGGCCGGAGGGGUGUGGCCUGGACCCAGGAAGUGGCGGUGCUGCUCGGGGACGUGGCGGUGCGGCUGCUGCAGGGCAAAGAGGUCACGGUGAGCAAAGCUGAGGACCCAGGGAUGGUCGGUCCCGUGCUUUCCGCUGUCCCGACGUCGGCCCUCCUCCUGCCUCCCUCCUCCAGGUGGACGGGCGCCCUGUGGCCUUGCCCUUUCUGCAGGAGCCGCUGCUGUACGUGGAGUUACGGAGACGCACCGUGAUCCUGCACGCCCAGCCCGGGCUCCAGGUGCGGCGCAAGGGCCAGUGGGGGUGUGGGAGCCUUGGACCUGUUCAGGCCUCUGUCUGUAGAGGGAGUGGGAAUACCAGCUGGGUCCCGUGCCAAAUCAGGCCAGUGAGGUCAGAAAGUUCUGCUGGAUUCUGAGGGGGAGGAAAGGAAUCAUGGUCGGAGACCUUGGGUGCAGGGAAGGGAGGUCUGAGCCUGGUUUCUAAUCUUGAUUCAGUCACCAACGCAGUGGGACUCUUAGGCCAGUACCAACCCUCUCUGGGCCUGUUUUCUUAUUGGUAAAAAGGGGGAACAAUUCAGGGGAUGCCAACUAAGGUCUACGUGGUUUCUGAAAUUCCUUCCAAAUCCCAUGUCGAAGAGUAAAUUUCUCCCUGCCUUCGGCAAGAAGUACAAUUUGUAAAUGCCUAAAACAAGUCUCAUCGAUACUUCUGAUCUGGACUCUAAUCGUGCUUCAUCCUCUCUAAGGCCCUAAUGCCCAUGAGAAAGUGAAUCUCUGAAGCAUUUCACCAGGGGGCCCAGUUCAGGGGUGCCGAUGGGAGAAGGUGCCCUCCUGCCGGAGCUGUGGGCAGCUCUUCAUGUCUUCUGUGUGUGCCCAGGACUCACAGAGCAUGUGCCAACUUGGCUUUGGCCAGGGCAGCCUCCUUUCCACGGGGAACCUCUACCCGCCCAUUCUCCUCCCCCACAGCGUGGAGUGUGCUGACAGUGCAUGGGGCCAGGGUGGACCCUGGGCUUCUGGGGGUCCCUACCUUUCCCCAUUCCCCGAUUCCAACCUCUCUGCCCAGGUGCUGUGGGAUGGGCAGUCUCAGGUGGAGGUGAGCGUGCCCAGCUCCUACAGGGGCCAGAUGUGUGGGCUCUGUGGGAACUUCAAUGGCUUUGCCCAGGAUGAUCUGCAGGGCCCUGAGGGGUUGCUCCUGCCCACAGAGGCUGCAUUUGGGAAUAGCUGGCAGGUGAGUGGCACAGGAGCCGGGUGGCUGAGUGUGAUCAUAGAGCAGCCCUCUUAUAUGGAAAGGGGGGUGGGCACGAGAUGGGCUUUGCAGCUUCAGGGUGAUUUGGGGGCUUCUUGCUUCUGUCGUGGUGCUGGGGGAGGCAGCGUGGCCUGUUGAAUGAGGCCUCAUCAUCCGAAUCCGCAAGCCCUGCCUUGCCACUCACUGGCUGUGUGACCUUGGGUGAGUCACUUAACCUGUUCUGGGCCUUAGCUUGUCCAGCUGUAAAAUGGGGACAAGGAGAAAGUAGCUGGUGCUUCCUUUGCUAUUCUUGUCGGGAGAUUUUUGGAGCUAAACCAAAAUAUUUAGUGGAAAGUGUUUUUGAAGCACGUAGCACACAGAGAUCAGCCGCCAGUGGAUGCUGUGACAUCAGGGUCACUCUUGCCACCUAGGUCCCAGAAGGGCCGGGACCCAGUCGGAUAUGUUCCAAGGGCCGCGAGGUGGAUCCGUGCAGGGCAGCGGGUUACCGUGCCAGGCGUGAGGCCAACGCCCGGUGUGGUGUGCUUAAGUCCUCCCCGUUCAGUCGCUGCCACUCUGUGGUGCCACCAGAGCCCUUCUUUGCCGCCUGCGUGUAUGACCUAUGUGCUUGUGGCCCCGGCUCUUUGGCUGACGCCUGCCUCUGUGAUGCCCUGGAAGCCUAUGCCAGUCACUGUCGCCAGGCAGGGGUGACACCUGCCUGGCGGGGCCCCACACUCUGCGGUGAGGGGGAAAUGCCCAGCGCGAGUUGGGGAAGAGGGUGAGCAGGGCACCUGGAGCGCUGCCAGGGUGCCCCUGUGACCCUGCCUUCCGCUCCACCUGCAGUGGUGGGCUGUCCCCUGGACCGCGGCUUCGUGUUCGAUGAGUGUGGCCCGCCCUGUCCCCGCACCUGCUUCAACCAGCACAUCCCCCUGGGGGAACUGGCCGCCCACUGUGUGAGGCCCUGCGUUCCUGGCUGCCAGUGCCCCGCGGGCCUGGUGGAGCACGAGGCCCACUGUAUCUCACCCGAGGCCUGCCCCGCAGUCCAGCUCACUGGGGACCAGCCACCCAGGCCUCCGCCCAGCCCUGGCCAGUAGCCAGGACACCAGGACUCAUCAGGUCAGAAGCCUCUCCUCUGAGAACAGCUCCCACCCUGGCCAGAGCCAUGGAAAGAGUACCCCACCCAGGCAUGGGGUCCUGUGUCCCACAAAGACCUCAUCGUGUUCAAUCAGAAGCAGUAAAAUCGGGGCCUCUCCUA